UUUCGUGGGGUCUGUGAAUGGCUCCUUACAUCAGCAGUCAUCUCCGUGAUAGAGUGUGGAUGGCACCACCCUGCCAGGUGCCCACUUGGACAUCCUCCAAAACCUAGUGGCUAAUACACGGUUGCAAAGGUCUGCCGCAUCAUGGUACUGCUAGCAGUUCUCUGACUGGCUCUGCCAGUGGUGGAUUGCACCCAGCUGCUGAGAAGACCAGCGCCUGGAACAUGGCAGCGUGUUGUGGCUGACUCAGGCUGGUCCCCCUGGGACAGUUGCGCUGGCAGAGUGGUGGCCUCGGCCACAGCAUUGCUUGAUCACACGAACUUCUGACCUAUCAGCCUGGACUGUGGUGUAGUGGACCACAGUGGCAGUGACGGGUGACGGAGAAUCAGGGUUCGAUUCCGGAGAGGGAGCCUGAGAGACGGCUACCACUACCAAGGUGGGCAGCAGGCACGCAAAUUGCCCAAUGCCAAGACAUUCCUGGUGAGGCAGCGACGAGCCGCAGCAAUCCCGCCUGUCCUCAGUGACCAGUGGGACUUGUAAUGGAUGCAAUCCAAACACAGUGAUGAGUAUCAACUGGAGGGCAAGUCUGGUGCCAGCAGCUGNNGUAANUCCAGCUCCAAGAGUGUAUACUAACAUUGCUGCUGUUAAAACACUUGUNNCAAGAAUGAGAGUGUGGGGAGNGAAGAUGAUCAGACACGUNGUAGUNCACAACUGUAAACUAUGCCAGCUCGGUGUNGGUGAUCAAGCUAUCUGUACGUCAUCAGCACCAUGCCCCCUGCAACGAGAAAUCCAAGCCUGUGGGUUCAGGGGGGAGUACUGUUGCAAGGCUGAAACUUAAAGGAAUUGACGGAAUGGCACCACAAGGCGUGGAGUAUGCGGCUUAAUUUGACUCAACACGGGGAAUGUUACCAGGUCAGGACAUUGCCGGGAUGGACAGAUUGAGAGCUCUUUCUUGAUUCUAUGGAUGGUGGUGCAUGGCCGCUCCUGAUUGGUGGAGUGAUUUGUCUGGUUGAUUCCGAUAACGAGUGAGAUAUCUGCCUCCCAAUAGCCCCAGUCUCGCAUUCUGUAGGGUUGGUGCAGUGUCCCACCUGGGUUCACUCAGGCUGGGUGCUGUCACUGCCUGAGAGCUCUGGGUCAAGCUUCUCUGAGGUGCUGUGUACGCUACCAAGUGCAUGCAUGCUAGAGCCAACAGCAGGUCUGUGAUGCUCCCAGAUGUCCUGGGCCGCACGCGCACUACAUUGGCCUGGUGAAUGUGUGUUACCACUCUCUUGCAGAGUCCUGUGCGGAAGUGCAUGGGAAACCCCUGGAAACCAUGCCGUACUGGGGAUAGAUGAUUGCAACUGUCUGCCUUGAACGAGGAAUGCCUAGUAUGCGUGGGUCAUCAGCCCACACAGAUUGUGUCCCUGCCACUUGUACACACCGCCCGUCGA
rnacentral:rRNA from 1 species